CAUUUUCCACUGGAGGACGUUGUUGAGGAGAAAGGCGGAGCCUAGGACCUGCAGAGGCAAAACACCUUGCUGGAUGGAUCGCUCUGGAAGUCAUUAAGCAGCUUAGUCCCGGAGCGGUGGCUCACGCCUGUAAUCCCAAUACUUUGGCAGGCCAAGGCGGGCGGAUCAUCUGAGUUCAGGAGUUCGAGACCAGCCUGGCUAACGUGGUGAAACUAAAAAUACAAAAAUUAGCCGGGCGUGGUGGCGCAUGCCUAUAAUCCAGCUAUUCAGGAGGCGGAAGCAGGAGAGUCGCUUGAACCCGGGAGGCGGAGGUUGCAGUGAGCCGAGAUCUCGCCACUGUACUCCAGCCUGGGCACCCCUGUACUCCAGCUCUGGGCCACAGAGCAAGACUCCGUCUCAAAAAAAAAAAAAGACGGGGAUGGCAGUGUCUUCUUAUGUUGCCCAGGCUAGUCUGGAACUCCUGGGCUCAUGCAAUACUCCUGCCUCAGACUCCGAAAGUACUGGGAUUACAGGUAUGAGCCAUAGCACCCGGCCCACAUAAAUUCUCUAAGCCUGUACAGUGAGUAAAACAAUACAUGUCUUUUUUUUUUUUUUUUUUUUUUGAGACAGAGUCUUGCCCCAUUGCCCAGGCUGGGGUGCAAUGGUGCAAUCACGGCUCACUGCAGCCUCAACCUCCUAGGUUCAAGUGAUCCUCCUUUCUCAGCCUCCUGAGUAGCUAAGACCAUACGCAUGCACCACCACACCUGUCUAAUUUUAACAAUGCAUUGGUCGGGUGUGGUGGCUCACACCUGUAAUCCCCGGUGUUGGAGACCAGCCUGGCCAACAUGGUGAAACCUCGUCUCUACUAAAAAUACAAAAAAAAAAAUUAGCAGGGUGUGGUGGUGGGUACCUGUAACCCCAGCUACUUGGGAGGCGAAGGCAGGAGAAUCACUUGAACGCAGGAGGUAGAGGUUGCAGUGAGCCGAGAUUGCACCACUGCACUCCAGCCGGGGUGACAGACUCCAUCUUUUUUUUUUAAUGCAUUUAUAAUAGAGAUGUAUCUGUAAAGUGCUCUCAGGAAAAGAGCUAGUGACAUGAUGGGUAGAUGAGCCUGCUGAGAGAAAUGGAUGUGGAGCUGGAGCUUAGGGAGGCCAGAGCUAUGGAGCAUGAGCCAGGGUGAUUCUCCACCACCCUAAGAAGGAGGGCUGGGUCCUACUGGGUACAUAUACUGACACAGCUGUCAGUAUAGGUACCUAGACAAGAAAGAGACUCUACUAAACCUCUACCUAUUAGAAAGUCCUGGCCCCAGGCUGCCAUUCCUGAGGGCACUUGAGAUCUGCUGAUCAGGGUCUUCAUAUCUUGUCAAUGCCUUGGCUCUAAGGGGUGUGAAGGAGAGCUGAGAAAUCAUGCUCCCUCCAGGGCACUAUCUUGUAGGGAAGACAAAAUCAAUGUAGGGAGAACACGUCCCUGCAAGGAGAGGCAAGCCUGACAUCCCAACUCCUGAGCUCUGAAGACAGCGCUGUUUAAAUAUCUGGAGCCCCAGACCACAGACACCACUGCUUCGGGAGGGUUCUCUCCCUCAGGCCAGACCAGGGCAAACACUAUUCAUUGUUAUGACUCUGUCCUUGCCAGUAGAACCCAGAGAAAGCAGAGAGCCUACCCCCAAGUAAUGAACCAUGUUUGUUCCUAGGCAGCCAUGACAAUCCUGUUUCUCUUUGUAAUACUCAAUUUCCCAUUCUCCCUUGAAGUGGGAGGAGCAUGUGACUCAAUUCUGGCCAAUAGGACUUAAAGGGAAGGGUCCUGGGAGGGCUCUGGGCUUUUACUUUCACGAUAAAGUAGGGCAGCCUCAAUGCCUUCAUGGAGCUGUGGCAACCACUUUGUGGUAAGGAGGGAACAACAUGCUAAGGAUGGGACAGUGGGAGGAUGAAAAUCUAGGUCCCUGAUGAUCCAACAACCAGGACACCCACCUCCAGAUUUCUUGUCAGGUUGGGGAAAAAUAAACCACUCUUUGAGGUC